CGCGUAGGCGGCUUUGUAAGUCAGAUGUGAAAUUCCGGGGCUCAACCCCGGAGCUGCAUUUGAAACUGUAGAGCUAGAGUACAGUUAGGGUAAACGGAAUUCCACGUGUAGCGGUGAAAUGCGUAGAUAUCGGAAGGAACAUCAGUGGCGAAGGCGACUUCCUGGACCAAUACUGACGCUCAGGUGCGAAAGCGUGGGGAGCAAACA
rnacentral:rRNA from 1 species